rnacentral:rRNA from 1 species
UGAUCCUGGCUCAGAACGAACGCUGGCGGCAGGCCUAACACAUGCAAGUCGAGCGCGCCUUCGGGUGAGCGGCGGACGGGUUAGUAACGCGUGGGAACGUGCCCUUCUCUACGGAAUAGCCUCUGGAAACGGAGAGUAAUACCGUAUACGCCCUUUGGGGGAAAGAUUUAUCGGAGAAGGAUCGGCCCGCGUUAGAUUAGGUAGUUGGUGGGGUAAUGGCCUACCAAGCCUACGAUCUAUAGCUGGUUUUAGAGGAUGAUCAGCAACACUGGGACUGAGACACGGCCCAGACUCCUACGGGAGGCAGCAGUGGGGAAUCUUAGACAAUGGGGGCAACCCUGAUCUAGCCAUGCCGCGUGAGUGAUGAAGGCCUUAGGGUCGUAAAGCUCUUUCGCCUGUGAUGAUAAUGACAGUAGCAGGUAAAGAAACCCCGGCUAACUCCGUGCCAGCAGCCGCGGUAAUACGGAGGGGGUUAGCGUUGUUCGGAAUUACUGGGCGUAAAGCGCGCGUAGGCGGAUUAGAAAGUUGGGGGUGAAAUCCCGGGGCUCAACCUCGGAACUGCCUCCAAAACUGCUAGUCUAGAGUUCGAGAGAGGUGAGUGGAAUUCCGAGUGUAGAGGUGAAAUUCGUAGAUAUUCGGAGGAACACCAGUGGCGAAGGCGGCUCACUGGCUCGAUACUGACGCUGAGGUGCGAAAGUGUGGGGAGCAAACAGGAUUAGAUACCCUGGUAGU